CUUGUGAAGCACAACUCCAUUAGAUACCAGUGUAGACAAGUGCAGAGCACUGUGCUAUGGGAAGGAACAAUUGAAAGGACUAAUACACCUGAACGGAUUCGGAAUUAGAGAUCCAGGCUUCACCGUGGCUGGUAGAGGGAGGAGGCCUGGGAGGAAGUGUACUCUGUAGCACCCAAGGAAGGAAGGAGAAGCCGGGCUGAGUUGGUAGAGGGUUGUGAAAGUCCACGUCAGCUGAAGGACAAGGAUCGCACAGAGCGGUGGACUUGUGGCAUUUAUCUUCCCUGAAUGUACCUAAUGAAGCCCAAAUGACAAAAGUCAGACGUGUCUGUCUCCGCCGGCUGACUGAGCAACGGUGUGAACAGUUCAGCUUGUGAGCCUCCUGCCUGUCUGUCCCAUCAGCCUUGGUGCCAAGAAUCCAAGUGUGGCAUUUCCCAUUCACUGCAAGCAGCCUGGAGGCUUCCGUCCACCUCACACGAGAGACUCACGAGGGACAGAGGUGAAUGCUUCUUCCUGUUCCUACAGUUCAGGGGUGGGGAACCUUUUUUGGCUC